GCUGGGUGUGGUGGCUCACGCCUGUAAUCCCAGCUACUCUGGAGGCUGAGGCAGGAGAAUCGCUUGAACCCAGGAGGUGGAGGUUGCAGUGAACCAAGAUCGCACCACUGUACUCCAGCCUGGGUAACAGAGCGAUACUCCGUCUCGA
rnacentral:SRP_RNA from 1 species